rnacentral:tRNA from 1 species
AAGGGAGACCUAAUUCCGGUGGGAGACGAAAAAAAAGUAGUCCCUACCAAGAAUCAAUCCCAAAAGGUCGAAGCGAGGCAAGAUUGGCUUUCAAACUAGGUUCUGGGUUCAAACAAGACCUGAAUCAGGAACAAGGGCUAUUAGCUCAGGUGGUUAGAGCGCACCCCUGAUAAGGGUGAGGUCCCUGGUUCGAGUCCAGGAUGGCCCACCUGCACAGGUGGCAAAAACAAAAAAGCGAGGAAUCAGCACCUUAUCUUACUCAUAUAGUAAGAGAGAAUGCUGGCUCUGAGUAAAGAGUCCAGAGGAACCUUGAAAACUGCAUAGAGCUAGGUGAAAAAGCCAAAAAAGAAGACCGCAA